UGAAAGAUUUAAUGAACUGCGACAAAUCACUUUUCAUUUCAUAUCCCAUGCUUUUAAACGUUGGUAUCUAGGGCUCGAUUUUUUUUCCUUUUAUAGGGUACAAAUAUCAACUUUUUAAAGAAUUUUUCUAAGACUUCCAAAAACCUUGAAUCUUAUAAAGAUGAAUAAAAUGAAAAUUGUUGCAUGAAAAAAUUUGAUUUUUAAGCUUCAUUUUGAUGUUUUUCAAAUGAAAUAUUCAUUUUUGGAGUUAUCCUUCCUGGCUGAUAAUCGGAUAUCCUUAAUUACGUCUGUACAGAUGAAAUUUUGAGACUCUCUGAUUAGAUUCGUUAAGCAAAAUAAGCAAACAGAGGAUUGUGCUAAAUCUAGCAGUUCUUGUGUGAUUAUCUAUAACUAAUAAACACAAUGUAUACUGAUGAUUCCCACUAUGAAGUUCAUUGAAAUAACUGCAAUUUUCAUGUUCAAACAUGCAAUUAAAAAAAAAAUAAACAAAACUUUCAAGAUGUGACUGUUGGUUAUUUCAAUUUAAGGAGAAAUUAUGUCAAAUUUAAGGUAAAGGAAAAGCCUUGAAAGGACGAAAAAAAUAAGUUAAAAAUCUUUUACACGAUCUUUUGUUUUUAUCUUUUACACGAUAUUCAGUUUUUGGCAUGUAUUCAAAUAAAGAAGGAAAUAAAGUUAACACAGACGAAGGAAAUGGGCAAAUAAAGAUAUCAAGUGAAAGAAGAUGAAAAUGUGGAAAAUAUGCUUAAACAAAAGAAAAUACAUGUAGUAAUCAAAAUGAUUUUCUAAGAAAAGAAGAGGGAAGAAGAUUAAAUAACUGGAAAUUUUUAAAUAGUCGAAGUUAUAUAUGCUAUUCAUCAACAGAAUGAUGAAGCAGUAAAUUCGUAUGCUAAUCAGCAUGAUCCAGUGAUCCCGUGUAAAAGUUUCAUUUUAUUCUUUUAAAAGUAACAGUAAACAUACACAUAAAUCCCUUGAUGCAAUUCUCCUUUUACGCAUCUCAAAAUGAUACGCAGCUAGAUAUUUAAACGAAAAAUGAUGCAUUAUACAUGAAGGAUAUGGAGAUAACGAACAGUAUUCGAUAUCAAAGAUGUAAGAUGGCCUAUAUCAGUGCACGUAGGUUGUGUAACAUCAAAGAUACUUAGUAGUGUUAUUCCUGGGGACAGAUCGACUUAUGUCAUAUUUCUUCUAAAGAACAGAACACGAAAUACUCAUUUACUUGCCGCUGGAGAGCUGUAUAUUUCUACCUAUGCUCGGCACACAGAGCCAUUGAGUAGUGGGUGUUCUUUUUCUUGCCAGUAUCUGCGACUUGGUUCAUAUAGUCUCAACUGAAGGAUUGGAUCUCUACAAUCCGCAGGGCAUUCGGUACCGCUACGUAAGGACUAGCUCCUUGCUCAGCGACAUCAAAGCAACUAAUUACUGCGCCAGUCGGACGAUGAUGUGAAAUAUGUACAUCUUUUGUCGAACAAAUAACGGAAAACUUGUUAAUUACAAACAUAAUAUCAAAAAAUAUAUUAAACUCUCUAUGUUUGUCAAAGUAUUUAUUUUGAUAUAUAUUUUCUAAGCAUAUGUAUAUGUAAAGUGUCGAAAAUGUUUUUAAAAUUGAGUUUGAUCAUGAGCUUGUUUUGUUUAUUUUGAGGGGACAGCACUAUUUUCAAACAGAACCUGGCGUUUUUUUUUAUUUAUUUUUAAAGAUGAAACUAACUUACAAAAA